UUUAACAGCCAUCUAGAUGACUGUGAGGUGGUUUCAAUCCCCAUUUCCCUGGUGGUUAGUGACGUUGAAUAUCUUUAAGUAUACGUAAGGGUCUUUUUUAUUUCUUCUUUGAAAAACACAUCUAUUUGGGUCUGGAGAGGUAGCUCAGUGCUUAAGAGUACUUGUUCUUCCAAAGGACCUAGGACCAGUUCUCCAAACUCACAGGGCAGCUCACAGCUGCCUGUAAAACCAGCUCCAGGGGGACCUGAUACCCUUUAAUGGCGUCUACAUACAACAUAUGUACAUACAACAAGUACAUGUCCAUAUACUGAACAUACACGCACAUACUCAUAUACACACCCAACACAUACACAUAAUUUAAAUAAAUAUAAUUAAUCAUGAAAACAAUGUCUGUCUUUACUUCUUUGCUAUUGAGUGGUAGUUAUUUAUAUAUGCAAAUUACAUAUGAAUAUACAUACAUAUGCACACAUAUAUACAUACAUAUAAAACAUACACACUUUACAUGGACAUAUACAUACACACACAAAAAUGUACACAGCAGUAUAUACACAUGUAUACAUAUGUACACAUGCAUAUGCUCAUACAUAUACACAUGUGCACACAAAAAUGCAUGUAGCACAUAUAUAUGUAUACAUAUUUGAAAUACACCUAUGCAUGUAUAGAUACAUAUAUGUGUGCAUGUACAUACGCACAUAUACAUAUACACAUGUAUAUAUUGGGUCGUCACCUUUUCCAGACACAUAGCACACACACAAUGUUCUCUCUCUCUAGAGGCCUUUUCAUGUGCUCACCGUCUCCUCUCCAGGCUGUGCUCUUCAGUUGGGUGUAAUCCCAUUUUCUAUUUUGCUCUUAUUUUGCUACCAUGCCCAUGAGAUCAUUGCUGAGGGCAGUGCCAUGAAGUGGUCCCCUACGUUUUCCUGGAGCCGUUGUCUCAGUUCCAUGGUCUUCAACCCCACCCUCAGUUGACUUGGUUUGCAGAGUGAAAUGAAGGCACCAUUUCAUUACUUACGUGUGAGUGCCCAGCUUUCCCAGCGUCAUGUUUUUAAAAAGCUGAAUCUCUUGGUACGGUUGACCAUGUGUGUGCUUCUGUUUCUAUGGGUUUCUAAUGUAUUUUGAAAUCAGGAACUUUCUGCCCUUGGCUUUUUUUUUUCUCAAGACUUAUUUGGCCAUUUGGGCCUUUUUAUGGCUCUACAGGAAUUUUCUAAUUUUUUUAUAUUCCUAAAAAAAAUAGACCAUUAUUUUUUUCCCUGUGGAAUCCAUUAGAUUUGAAGAUCAGUUUGAAUAGUAUAGAAUUUUGGCAUUGUUCUUUGGAUAUCCACACAUGUGAAAUGUCUUCUUGAUAAUUUUUGCCUUUUUCUUCAUUACUUACCUGAAUUCCUUACAAAAUGAAUCAUUUGGCAUUCCAAAAUUAAUUUUAGACUAUCAUAUAAAGGAAUGGGUUUCAUCACAAUGUCUUCACAUGUACCAUUAUGAAAUACAUUUAAUAAACUUGAGUACGGAGAAGAAGCAACCACACAAUGGAAAUAAACGUUUCAUGAGGAACAAAGUAUCCUAAAUGUCCUUAGUUUUUGGUAUACAAAGUAUCAUAAGUGUCUGUAGUUUUCCAUAUACAAAGUAUCCUACAUGUCUUGAGUUUCCCUAUCCCCGUCCUCGACUCUUUAGGUUGCUUUUUAUUAAGUUGUUUACUUUGUUCUCCCGAUGUUUAUUGUUAGUGGAUGAAAAUAUGACAUAGAGCCAAUUUUCAUGUUGGCUUUUCCAGUUGCAAUUUUAGAAUAUUUAAGGUUCUCUCUACGUAAUAUCCUGUUACCCUUUAGCACAGAUAAUGCAACCUCUUCUUUCUGCUAUGAUGCUGAUUGUUUCUUAUCUUGCCUAAUUGCUAUGGCUAGGAUUUCUAGUUACAUGGAAAAGAAGUCUCAUCUAGGUCUAGAUCUUGGAAGAAAAUGAGUUUUCUAAGGUUGAAUGUGAGCAGUUCUAAGUGUUUGCUAGUUUGUUGUGAACUUUUAUUGUGAAAGGACUUUCUAUUUCAUCAAAUCUUUUCUCUACAUCUGUGAGGUGCCCCUGGGAGGUGAGCCCGCUCCUGUUCUGUUAGCACGUGCAUCCCAUUGACUGGUUUGCAGGAGAGUCUUAUAUUCUAGGCACAACUCUCACUGGGUCAUGGGGUACAAUCCUCUCAAGGUGCCAUUGAAUUUGGUUUGCUGGUAUCACACUGAGAAUUCUGCAUCCAUGCAGACAGGGUACCAGUCUGUAAGUAUCUUUUCUGUCUUGGCUGGCUUUGGUGUUGGGCGAUGCUUGUUCCGUUAGAUGGACUAGGGAAUGUGUCCUCCUCCUCUAUGUUUCUCAAGAGUGUGAGAGGAGCUGGGCACCAUCUCCAGAAUAUGUAGUAGACUUUAUGAGGGAAACUAUUGGAUCCUCGGAAUAUCUUUGGUAAUUUUUUUUUUUUUUUGGUUCUUUUUUUUCGGAGCUGGGGACCGAACCCAGGGCCUUGCGCUUCCUAGGUAAGCGCUCUACCACUGAGCUAAAUCCCCAGCCCCAUCUUUGGUAAUUUUUAAUGUGUUAAUUUAGUGUUCAUGCUUGUUAUAAGUCUCUUCAAACUUUGUUUCUCCAUGUUUUUUUCCAUCUCCGAGUUUCCGCACCUGCUGUCCCCCAGCCUGUUAGCAUUUAAUCAUUUAAUCAUUCUGGGAUCCUUUUUAUCUCCGGCAUCUCUCUACUCCAGGCUUUACUCACUUUUCUUGCUUUUUUUCGUCCAGCAAAGGGUUUGUUAAUUUUGUCCUUUGAGAUCAACCAAAUGUUUGGUUUUAUUUCUUUAUUUUCCUUUAUUUAUAAUCACCCCUUUUUCUAUUUCUGUUCUCCCUUUUAUUAUUUUCUUCCAUCUGCUAAUUUUGAGCAUAUUUUUGUAGAUCACUGAGGAUAAAUGAGGUUAUUUGGGAUAACGUCUCUUUCUUUAAUGUGUUUUUUAGUUUAAACACCCCUGUUAUCAUUCCUUCAGAUUCCUCCCACAGGUUUUGGGAUGUUGUAAUUCCAUUUCUAUUCGUCUCAAGAUACAUUGUACAUCCUUUUCUGGCUUGCUGUUUGAGCCAGUGUUCAGGAGUAUAUUUGUUGAGUUUCCAUAUAAUUUUGCAUACAUAUUUUUCUGUUACUUAUUUAAUUUUCUUUCCAUUAGAACCAAAAUGUUAUUGGGAAUCAAUUUGAUUUUCUAAAAAAAAGUCUAAGACUUAUUUUAGAAUUGAGACUAAUCUUUCAUGCUGCUGAAUGAAUGAUAAGUUCUUUGACUGUCUAUUUGGUUAACUGAAUCUCACAGUGCUUUUAAGUCCACUGUUUUCUUCCUUGAUUCUCUGACUGGCUAUUUUGUUUCUUGUUAUGUGUGGGCUGCAAUGGCUCAAAUAUUCUCUUCAAUUCGUGUAAUAGUAGUUAAUCUUCAUCAGAACCCUGAUGAGAGAUGGGUUUUAAGGGGAGCACAGAACCCAAGGGCUCAGCCUUCUUCAGUUAGGAACCGCUGACACUCAGCUGAGUAGGGUAGGGGAGUUAUUUGGGAAGUGCUAUUCUAGCCCAGGGUGAAGUCAGUUCCUCCUCUUCACUGUUGUUUACGUGUGAUGGUCUUCCCCUCUCUGACAGUGAGUGAAGGCAGAAGCCCAUCCCAGGCAGCUGUGGAUCCAUAGGAAACAAAACUUUGUUCUUUAUAAAUGACCCAGUCUCUAGCAUUCUGUAAUAGUAUAGCCAGGAGAUAAGAAGUCUCCUCCUAUUGGUUUUAUUUUUUUAUUACUAUCAAUCUUUCCUUCAGCCUGUCAAAAUUUGCUUUAUAUGUUAGGUUUUGGGAUGGUGGGUGCAUGCGUAUUUGUACAUGUGACAUUCCCUUAGAAUCGCCCCUUGUGUCAUUGUGGAAUUACUUCAUCUCUACAGAUAGUUUUAAGUUCAAAGUCGAUCUUGUUUGUCCCAAUUUGCAAGAAAUAUCUUUUUUCAUCCAUUGCCUUCAGCCUGUGUGUACUUAGUUCCAUUGUGAAUCUCCUGUAGCAAGCAGGUCUGAAUAAUUGGAUUCUGUCCUUUUUAUUUAAAAAGAAAAAUAAUGCGUUCGUUCAUCGCAUACCUUUUCAUUAGUGAAGUUGAUCUCUUCACGUUAAGGUGAAUGUUGAGAAACAUAGCCUUUUCAUUGCCAUUGUAUUUGCUGUUUCUUAUUCUGUGUUGAGUUCUUCUAGUAGAAUGUUUUCUGGAGGGAAGUGCCUAGCCUUUUAACCCUUUACUUUAAAUACACACAUGCAUUUUCUUUGUGGUUAGUUCAAGGCUUGCCUAAAAUAUCUUCUGGUUAUCAACUUCUACUUUAAAAAUACCGUAGCAGCUUUAAUUUGCAUGUAAAGGCACUAAACAAGAGUGUUUACUGCACACUAACAAAAUAUUUAUUAACAUGUUAAAUUAUUUUCUAUAUACCACUGCCUCAGUAGAGCAACAUGCAUAUAUACAUAUUUCUUUGUUUUGUUAAAUCUAUACUUUCAUGUUGGUAUUUGGGACGAGAGCCUUUCUAUAUGACUAAUUCCUUUAGAUUUCUCUUGUAAAGCAGAUCAGGUAAGAAGUGCCCUCAGAUUUUGUGUGCCUGGGAAGACACAUUUGAAGUAUAAUUUUGUCAGGUGUCUUAGACUUGGCUGGCGGGGUUUUUCCUCUAGCUCUUCACAUUUAUCAUCUCAUUCUCCCUUAACUAUAAGGGUUCUGCUGAAACCUUCCGGGUUAGCUUCCUCCGAGCUCCCAGACACGUGAGCUGUUCUCUGCCCUCACAGCUCUCCGUUUUGACUUUCGUAAUUUAUGUUUCUCAGUAGGCUUCAUAGGGUUGAUCCUUUAGAGUGAACACCGAGCUUAGUGAAUUUGGAUGUACACUUUCAGGGAGACCACUCGAGUACAGUCAGACCACAUUCGCCCUCUGUUCAGAGCAUCUGGUGGUCAUUUUGUCCCCUCAGUGGCCCUCAAAGCCUCAGUGCUUGGCUGUUGUUACCUGCUCCAUGUCUGGAUACUGUUUUCUCCCCUUAGUUGGCCACAUUCACUGGUGAUGCUUCUCACAUACUCCUGGAGUCUCCCAUUGUGAUAAUCCCAGGCUUACAGUAUCUUCCAGAUGCCUCUGUUUUCAUUAGGACAUCCCUCAAAUCCACUCCCUUAGCAAGGUCUUCCCUGGCAACCCUAUCAUUGUCUAUUCACUUCCUCCUAAGAACACAACUUCUCCCCUCCCCCAAUCACCUCACUGUCUCUCAUUUCUUCUCAUUACCAUUUGAACUUACUAAAUAUUUAAAUUUUUUCUUACCCCCUUCAUACUGUGCUAGCUCACAGAGGAAUGGGAUACUCAGCUCUCAUGAGUUCAAAACCUGGAAGCCUAACAAACUUGGUGUGUGUGGCCUUUUUGAAUGAAUGUGUGGCUACAUACAGUCAUACAAGGAACACAGAAGAGAUUAAUGAGUUAACAAGAUGGAAUUUGGUGUCUAAUGUCUUCGGAUGCUGUGACACCCCUGGUUUUCCAGCUCAGCGUCCUCUCCUGGACAUGUACCCAGAACAAAGACCUUUUUUCUAAAACAGCAGAACUGAACUUAGGAACAAAUGGUAUUUCUGUAGUGUGCAGGUAGUAGAGACAGGAGGAUUGCUGGGACUGGCUAGCCAACAGCCUAGUCAUAAAUCAAUGAGCUUCGGGUUCAGGGGGAGACCUCGUCCAGGAGAAUCAGGUGGAAGGAGAUAGGCAUCCUUCUUCCUCUGUCACGGCCACUGUAUCUCCUCCAGCACACGCACCCGACAAUUGUCCUUUAUUGUGACGAAUUAGAAAACCUAUGAAAGAACCGUAGGAGAUCGCUAUAGAGGAUGUAGAAGUUGUGUUUCCUAAAUAUUAAUACAAAUAUCAUGUUAAGGAAGUAAAACAUUUUAAAAUAAUGGGUUUGGGGGUGGGGGGAACCUUACAGGUGUAAAGAGAAGCAUAUGGCUGACUAGAGAUUGCCAACGAAAUUGACAGAUGAUUAACAUUCAUUAAAACUUUUAAUUAACACCUUGGAAAAUUCCAUAAAAUGAUACUGUAUGUAAAUGAGGAUGUGUGAUAACUGGGAACGUUCUCUUACCUGUUUUACAGAGGGGAAAAUGGAUCACAAAACUGCUUAUGAUAACGAUUUCUUUCUCCCUGGGUCUGUUUCAAGUGUUAUCAGCUUGUGUCAAUCAUGACAAUUUGAGCUGCCAAUAAUUCUAAAUAUAUUUGGCUGAGAUAUAAGUGAUUCUCUGUGCUUUCUGGAGGCAAGAAAAACUACCUUUUUUUUAGUGGCUUAUCACUUCUUUUUUACAACAUUUCCUGCUUAUGCAACUGUGGGAGGGUUUGGGCUCUCACAGAAGGAGAGCUUUUCCAAGCUGUUGUAAAUCAGAUAUGUUGAAACUGUGCUUCGUAAAACUCAUGUUCAAGAAAUGAUAUCUAAAACAAAACUGGAGGCUGUGAGAAGCUGACUUCGUGAGGGCUCCACAACGCUAAACUGCACUUCCUCCUGUGUGGGCAAACUGCAUUUUCAACUUGUAGUUCACAAAGGUGAGAAGGGCAAUUUUUGUCUGGACCACAGUGAUAAUUAACACAACAAAGGCUUCACACACACACACACACACACACACACACACACACACACACACACACACGCAAUGUUUACUACCGUAUCUUUUAGUAAUAUUUUUUGAGAAAGGGUCAAUGUAGCCUAGGCUGGCCUUGAACUCUCUAUGUAGCCAGAGAUGGCCAUGAACGUCUCUAAGCCUCCUCUUCCUCCCGAGUGCUGGCAUCACAGGUUUGUGCUGUAAUACCCAGUCUCUGCAGUACACGGGACUGAACUCAGAGUUUCCUGAGAUCUAGGCAGGUGCUCUACCCACUGAGCUACAUCUGUAGCCACUCUUAAUCAUUUCUGAGUCUCUUAAAUAACAGCCUUAGUGUUGCUGAGAGAAUUCCGGCCUGAGUCUAAGUUUACGUACCUGUUUCACCGAGGAGGGUUGUACAAACAUAGAAUUAUGGUUUUAUUUAUUUUGGAUAGACCUGCUUGGUUGCUAUUAGAUAUCAUGCUCGAUCAGGUUUAAAUGGCUGUUAAAUAUCUAGAGUAAUCAUUAAAGACUGGGAUCAUUGUCCCAAGUGGUGAAUCCUUGACCUCCUUCAGGACUGAUGAGGCUGCAUAGCUUCCCUCUUCCCGUGGCCUCCAUGAUUACUGUACUGACUUUUUCUGUAUCUCUCUUGUGCUGAGUUCCCCCAACACUGUGUUCCCCCGACACUCAGUUCCCCCCAAACCGAGUUUCUCCCCUCUGAGUACCCCCCACCGAGUUACCACCACACCAAGUUCCCCCCACACUUAGUUCCCUCCACGCUGAGUUCCCCCGAAACCGAGUCCCUCCGCACUGAGUUCCCACCACACCGAGUUCCCCCACAUUGGGUUCCCCCCAACACUGAGUUCCACCACCACAACCCUCAGUGUAGACUCCUCCUAACUCUUGACUCUGUGCCUGCUGCCACACGUAGCCAGUUAUAAUCCUUCCUACUGGGCUUCAUGUUGUGUGUUGUCAUGGAGGAUUUGUGCUGUUUAAGGAGAUACCUCUUGCUCCAUGCUUUUAGAAUGUAUUAACUGACUGUCACAGUGUUGCCUCCUGAUCCAAGGAAAAGGGGCACACAACUUGAUAUUGUAGCCAUUCAACUAACUGGAGGAAGUUGUCAGAAUCUUUGCUACAAGAAUUAGACGGUAGAAUUGAAAUCACUAAGGGUGAUCACUUAUAAGAUGCCCCGCUUUGAAAGCUAAUGUAUGGUUUAGGUAUUAUAUUUAAGUUCCUUGGAAUAUUUCCUUGUUUUCUUGCUUAAUGUUUAUUAAGUAUUGUGAUUUUUAAAUCAUUUUCUAGAUUAGCUAAGGGAGUUAAAGCCUUGGAACCAAAAUAAGAAAGCUUUAAAGACACAAAAGAACAAAUUUGUAUUAUUAUUUUUAUCUCUCCUAGCGUUAGGAGCCUAAAUGUUUUGAAGCUGAAGCACAAAGAAUGCAGGGAGAGACAAAAAAAUUACACCGAAAAUACCAAUUAAGCAUGAAUGUUGCCUGAUUUAUAAUUCCACGCGCGGAGAUGAUAAAGAAGAAAUACCACGUGUGAAGAAUGAGAUGUUCUGAAGUUGUGUUUCUGACUCUAUAAUUGAGAACAAUCCCGCUGAGCAGGAAAAGAAGCUCGGGAGAAGGGGGACGCUCUCAGGGGCUGUGAGAAGCUCAGAGUCAGGGAGCAAGCACUGAAGACAGAGGGCAGGGGUGGCGGAGCUCAGCCUGGACUGAGGCGCUGGGCUUGCCGAGGGAAACAAGAAGUAAUCAGUCACAACCAUCCAUCCCUUUCCACACCACGAGUGCUCACGAGGAGACCCUUUCAUUGGUCAAUUGUCUUAUUUGUAAAAUGCAGCGUGGCUGGUGGGGCCGGGGUGGUCUCAGUUGGUAGAAUGCUUGCCUGGUUUGCAAACUCACGAAGUCAUGGGCUUGGGUCCCAGAACCACAAAAAACCAGGUGGCACGUGCUCCCAUACACAAUGAGUUCCAGUUCAUUCUGGGCUACAAAACACCCUGUCUAAAAUGAUAAAUAAUAAAAAUAUUAAAAAAGUACACGCACACAUGGGAUUGUUUACCUACCUGUUGCCUGUUUUUAAACCCGGGGAGUUGUAACAGAAAAACAAAACAUAGAAUUGUAAAAUUUUGGACAGGCCUGUUGGGCUGCUAUUAGAGAACACGUUUGGUCAGGUUUAAACACUGAUGCUACCCCUAAGCCCUGCAAAUCUUCUAUGACAACCCUGGACUUUAAUACGGAAUAGACAUGGCUACUGAAGCCCUGUUCGGUUUUGCUUUUGUCUCCCAAGCAGAAAGUAGAAUUUGGCACUCCCUCCACUUCCUACCUUGGCUUUCCUCCAUGAUGGCCCAUCACCUGUAAAUCAGAUACACCAUUUUGUCUCUCAGCCUGACUUUUUGUCUGGGUUUUAUCACGUAACAGAGGAGCGAACCAGGGCACAGAUGCCCAGUUCACACAAUGGGGUCACAUUCCUUACUUGAAAUAAACAAGGGUGUUAGGACCCUGUCUUAACAGCACAACACACUUAAGCUUACAUCGCCAGGCCAGUGUGGGCUGAGAUUACCCAGGACAUCGCUACAAGCUUCACGGGUGGAAGUGGGCAGUUGCUCAUCAGAGUUGUAAGAAAAGUCUGGACAAAGAUACACAGACCGGUUCUGUGCUUUCUGUCGGGCAUUGUGAAAUAUAACCUCAGUGCUCCUGGAUCCAUGAGGCAGUAGAUGUUCUGUGUUUGUAAAGAGCUGUCUACCAUUUGAUAAGGACCGCUUGGCCUUGAUGGCUUCUGAUGGAUGGACUAGCCUACUCUACCAGGAUAGCCUCAUUCAGGUUUUUUAAAUACUAUGUUUUACUUUGAGAAUUUCCUGUUCUUACUUUCCCAUGCCUACUUUCCUGUCUCUCAAACCUAAGGAGUGCAAUGUUGUGUUUCUCAAAUACUCUGGAGAACGGGGUCUAUCUGGAACAUGGCAGGCCUGCAAGAGGAAACUGUAAAAGGAAAACUGAACUUUCCUCUCCCCAGAGCCUUCCACAAGGGGCGGGUCUAUGAAUCCACCUCUCUUCCCCCAUGCUGGGGAAGCCUGGCUGGCUGGAACUUGUAGGCGUUAUGUCAUACGUGUUAUGUAUGUUGUCUUAUGUGUAACCGCACUGCUGUGUGCAGACAAUAGUUUCCCACCUCUGGCACUUACUGUCUUUCUGUCCCUCUUCUCAUGAUUACCCCCGAGCUUUCAGGGGAAGGGGGAUAUGCAUGUCCUACUCAGAGCUGGUCACUGCAAAGUCCUACUCUUCCCGCACACCGACCAGCUGUGCAUUUCUGUAUCAAUCUGCCUCUCCCUCUCCCUCCCUCUCCCUCUCCCUCUCCCCCUCUCUCCCUCUCCCCCUCUCUCCCUCUCCCUCUCUCUCCCUUCCCGUGAAUGUCAUGCUUUUACUUUAUGUCUGCACACACUCCCCCGGGUACACGUCCCACACUUUCUUCCUGUGUUUGUGUGUUGAUGAGCAUCUAGGCCGAUCCCGUUUCUUGGCUGCUGUGACUGGCACCACAGUAAAUGCACACGUGCGUGUAUCUCUGUCAGGCAACUUGGGUUCCUUUGGAUCUGUACUCAGAAGUUACCACUGCAGUAUCCACAUUUUAAACUUCUAUGCCUCGUCGUCUUGAAAUAGAGAUGAGGCCUAUUCCUACUGUACCGAAAUAACCUGACAGGGGCACGAGUUAGUUGUCUUGCUAGUCUUUAAACAUUUGGCAAACUUUCACCAUCAGUGAGGAAGAUUGAGAGUGAACGAUAACAUGAGAUAUUUACGUAGAUUUUUGGCAGAAUGAACAAUUGAACUCAAUUGGAUCAAUUAAUUAAUGUCAAUUGGGACUCUGGCCUUAGUCCUAUCAUUGAGUAACUGUUGACAACCUCGGCUGGCUGGUUUUGUGACUUGACACAAACUUAGACAUAUCUAGGAAGAGGGAGACUCAGCUGAGGAAAUCUCACCCUGAGAUUGCCUUUCAGACAAGCGUUGGGGAGGAGAGGUGGUUCAUUUCCUUCAUUAAAGUAGUAAGAGUCACCUUACUGUGAAUAGUACCAUCUUGUGGCUCCCUGCCCUGGGUUCUAUUUCAGUUCCUGCCCUGAGUUCCUGCCCUGACUCCCUGUCAUGGUGUACUGUGAUCAAGACUUGUAAGCCAAGUAAACACUUUUUUCUCCGAGUGGCAUUUAGUCAUGGUGUUUUGUCACAGUAAUACAAAGUAAACUGUACACUGCUUGCCCACCUUUAAGUUUACAUCUCAAUGGGGUGAUUUCUAUAUUUAAUAAAAUAUAAGGGUUCAAUUUUCACAUAAAUGUAAUGGUAGUGUAUAAUGCCCAAAUGAGGGAAACGGUCUUGAGAGGGAUCCUUGGGACAAAUGAAAAUGUAAUUGAAAGGUUUAUAAGCCACUGGCCGGCUAGAGUUUCUGAAAGAAGCAACUGGCUAAUUGUUGGAACAUUGGACUGUAUAUAUUUGAACACCAGGAAGGUGGGAGAGACAGGAAGCCUCCUCUGUGCUGCCUUCAGACGGCAGACAAAAAUUAAACCAUCAUUUGCCACAAUGAAAUGUAAAACUGUAAAAAAAAUCAGUGUAUGAGGGUCUUACUAUAGAAAGUGUGGAGAUUUUUAUCAGAGUCAGAAUUACAUUAGAAAAAUCUCUUCAAGUUUCCUAUCUUUAAAUACAGUUCUAUAAUUUCACAAACUUGUCAUGACAAAUUGAUGAGAUAAGAGGAAUUAGCUUUGGGGGAAAUAGUAUGCUUGUGUGUGUGGGGGGGAGUGGCUCUGAGCUGUUCUCCUCCAAACAUUCCAUUAUCUUCUGAGAUAAGCACAAAAGUGUGUAACAUACCAUGACGGUAACAUACCAUGGCGAACCCAACCUGUAUGUUGUAGUAAAGAGCAGACAUACAACAGUCCCUACUUGUUCUCACUGCUGUGGGGUGUUUAGCUUUUCCUUUGAUAGGAAGCAAAACUCACCAGUCUACAAGCAAGACUCUGACUCUGUAUGGCGUUAAAUAUUGACAGCCCAUCUGUGAGUGGGAACCACAUCGAAUUCCUGGAGAAUCAGACAGCAGAGCCUGUACUAAUGCUCCGAUUAAUCUGAUGAGGCCUCCUCCGCCUGUGUGUUUUUAAUUUGCCUUUCCACAGGACCAGAUAGAUUGUACACUUGUGGCAUAAAGAGAUUCUGCAGCUUUUGAAUUAACCUAAGUGUUAACCUAACCUGAAGUCCUUGGUUUUGCUGAUUCAGAAACUGAGUUCGAGAACAUGGCUUACCACUCCCCAAGGUCCUUCUGUGUAGUUGGUGGUACAACAAAGUUCAGUGUCCGUCUCCUAUGCCUGCCAGUGACAUCACCACUCUUUCUGCGUUCUGUCCUCUCUGGGUCUUCUUUUCAAAUACUUGAGAAGCAAAAGGAGGCAAAAGAAGGUGCACACAUCCACACCAUCCUCACAAAGCUGACAGUGUUAUAUUUAAGUAGUUUGCAGUCUUAUUAAACACUGAUAUCCAGAAAUAAAAUAAGGGGGAGUUGCUAGUCUCUUCUGGGUGCUAAUAGACUGGAUGGGGGGCAGGAUUCAGAGCUUCGUGUCAGAAAGGAUUUAGGGUUUACUCACAUCUCAGCAGCUGCCACGGAUUUAUGUAGAUCCCCGUGCAGUAGUCACACCCGUGUUUUAGGACGGCUUUCAAACUGGGCAUGCAGAAGUCUCUCUCUGCUCAGUGUCACUCACCAGGAGUUGAUUCAGGCUGCAGCCUCUGGCUGAGAUGCUGGUCACUCUACUCCAAGUCUUUGCUGCCCUGGCUUUAAGGAUUUAAAAUCGUCUUUUGAUGACGUUAUCCACCCUUCCUUGUGGUUGGAGUGUAGAGUCAAGCAGUGCUGCUUCACUGUUUUAAAUACUAAUCAAGGUAAUGUUGAGUUUAAUAUGGAAAAUGUCUCACCAUUUUAAAAUGUAUCACAGUGACUUUUUUAUUAUGCAGAUCCCCACGUGAAUAUCAGGUUCUCUAAAGGCUGACAGGGAGGCAGAGCAUCUGUGUAGAUGUCAGUACAGAGCUGUGGGAUUCACCUCCCUAAGUGUUUAGAAAUCAAGCUGAUACACGUUUUAUAAAAUGUAUACGUUUUAGGAGUAGUCAGAUUGAUACAAUAUGAGCUGAUAAAAUGUUUCUGACUCGUGCCUCCCUCAGCAGUCCCUAUUGGCAGCCUGUAAGCUGGCAUGGAAAUGUAACGUAUCUUGGGCCUUUGGGCAUUGAGGUGAGAAUGGAAGAAGCUGAUAUUUAAGCUAUUACCAAAAUGCAGUGUUUAAUUUAGAAAUUUAAAGAGCAUGUGAAUUUAAAAGUGACAGAAUGUUUGAAAAUGAAACUUCAAAUGGAAAGUUAUUUUUCUUCUUCAACUUGUGUGACUUAAGAGGUGGGAGUGAGUUGGGGCAAUUCUGACAGGCUAGGUACAGUAAGCUAGCCAAAUCCGGUGCCACAAGAUGAUGUGGGAAUUUGCUUUUCAGUGGGAGAAUGGCAGGGGAGGGACAGGUGACCUGUGUGACUUGGAAAGCAAGUGUGCUCAUGUCAGUGAUGCCCUGGGCGUCUCUGUCUUCACUCCUUCUUCUGUGGACACUUGUUUCUUGAGGCAGGGGUCACUCCUGUUCUUGAGUUCCCUGUGUAAAAUAUUUUUACUUGUCCCCUAUGCUCGUACUGGCAUCUAACAUGUGUCACCUGUUUUCAAGCCUCGAUUCUCCUGCCUUUAGACUGACUUGAGCUACUACUUCACCAGGAUCUCCUGAGGAUUUUAAGUCUUCAGCAGUAUGAGAAGUUCGAGGGCCACGACCAGGCACAUACGUCAGGAUGCAUACACAUGUGUUUCUGAUCACAUGGAAAGGCCUGGCUGGGGCCAAAGCUCUGCCUACUGUUUGCUUAUCUGCCUUUGCUUCCUGCCUGGCUUCUCACUUCCUGACCCCUCCUUGAGGUGUUUAAUUUAAUUUGUCUUAAUCAGCCUUUGGGGCCAUGACUCUUUUUAAGAUCACUGAACAUUUGAAAAUUGGAAUCAGUUGAUUGAGUCAUAGAGAAACAGACCUCCCUCGCAAACUCCUACCAUGGGCACUCUGUCGUCUCGGGCAGCUGACCUGUGCUGCUCUGGUCUGUCACGCCGGUCAGAAUCGGCCUCUCCCGUCAGGUCUUCAUGCUAUGUUUGUAAUGGCUCCCGAAACACACACUGCUCACCUGCAUACUGACGGCAGGCAGCAAGAGGAGCGUUAAGCCAGACAUUUGUUUCUGGAGUUGCCUGAUGGCGGUGAGAUUAUCUUGACAACGUUAAUUCCAACAAGUUUUCAGUCUGACUGAAUCAUUUUUUCCUGCUCCACUGACCCGUUUUUUAUUUACCUUUAGGGCGGUUUCUGCAUUCAUUAAUACAAGCCGAGUGAAAAAGCAUGUAGACAUUUUUUUUGUCCUAAGAUUGGUGGUCAAUAUUCUCAGCAUUUAUUACUACGCUAACAUGGGAAGGGAUAGGGUCACCGGCUCAGCCUUGUGUCUGUGCACUGAUAUCUGGUCCCAGGCAUCAGUGGUCCCAGGUAAUGGUCCAUCUGAUUUCAGCACUUGGUGUGGAUGAGGCCAAAGUUGCUAAAGUGACUUCUGAUCUCUCGCAGGGUUGGAAGCCAGCACUGCAUGUUCUUCCGGCUACUUAGUGGGUCCCUGGCAUGCGAUUAACUCAUCAUCAUGCCCCGAGAAAACCAAGAAGUUCAUUUAUUGGUAUCAUUUAUGUGCUAUAAAAACAUUCUCAGGCUAACAGCCCCACCCCCUUUUUGGUAUAUCCAUGUAUACUCAUGCACGCAUGUGAUUGCACAUGGGUAUGUAGGUACAUUUGUGGUCAUGGGCACGUGUGUGGAGGCCGGAGGACAAACUCUGCUGUUGUUUCUCACAUGACAUUUACAUUAUGUUUUAUUGUUAUUACUUGUUUAUUUGUAUGUGUGUGCGCCUGUGUGUCUCUGUGUGUAACACCUAUGAAGAGGUCAGAGAGCAAGCCAUGGGAGCCACUCCUACCACAUGGAUCUCAGAGAUGCAGCUCAGGUCUUAGGCUUAGGCCCAAACACCUUCUCUCCCUGAGCCAUCUCCUCAGUCCCAUCACUUUUUGCUUAAUAAUAAUAGUUAUAUUAUAGUUAUAAUAAUAGUUAUCAUUAUCAUUAUUGUUAAUGUUUCUGACACAGGGUCCCUCACUGCUCUAGACAGAGCCAAACUGGAUCAGAUAACUGACCAGUGAGCCCAGAGACCCAUCUUCUUGUCGUCUUAAUGCUGAGAUUACAAGCAAGGAGACUUCAUGCUCAGCUGCUUUUAAAUGUGGGUCCUGAGGGAUGGAGUCCCAGGCCUGUGUCCUUGCAAGGAUGUGAGUGGCCUUAACAAGCCCCACCUGUGCCUUUUAUUGUCAUUGCCAAGAUCAUCGUGGUCAUUUGGUGUUCAGAUAAGGAGUUAGGGAGCACUGUAGGUAGAGGGGGGAGGGGGAGAGGAGAAAGUGGACGAAGAGGAGGAAAAGAAAGUACAGCCUGAAGUUCUACAUAAAACGCAACGGAGCUCAGAGUGGGCGUUCAGUGCAUACUAUCUUCGGAACACUUUAAACCAAAGGAUUGGCUCGUGUGGGAUUUUAGAAUUGAGUGUAACCUUUCAGAAUAAUACAGUUCACACGCUUCAUUUUAAGACCCGGGAAAGAAUAGAAAGGUUAAAUGACAUGGUCACGGUCACACGAAUAGUGGCAUUGUGGGACCACUUAUCUUUAUUUUUAGGUGUGAGAAGUAGGCCAUUUGCCUCGGAGAUCUGGUAGAAAGGCCAAGAUCACCAGGUUCCUCCGUGUUGGCCAAUGAAAGGGCCAUUUCCUAACUUGGCUUUUUCUCGUUUUCUAUAUUUGACAGGGACGGAUGCUCAUCUUUUCUUGAAUCUCUCUGUUCUUUGAGUCUCUGCGGCCGCGUGGUCUCCUCCCUUCCUCCGAGCUUCGUGACUGACAAUGGGUUUCAUUCAGAGGCCUCCUUAGGCUCUCUCUCCUUGAUGCGGAGCCCUCCGGAGGUCAACCCUCCCUCCGUUCCUCGCACUCUUGACAUCCUCUCUGGGUCACCUCAGCAUUUCUGCCAUAUUUAUUAUGAGUCCCACACCCUGGUAGCCAGUGGUAUGAUAGACCAGCACGUGAGCCAUGCAGCAAGGACUCACACUGGCGUUCUGAUGCCUCUGCUACUGUCCCUAUUUGAGUAUUCUUGGAAUCUACAGUGAUUGUGAUGGAUGCCCUGGAUCACACUGGAUGUCCGGUGGAAACCUCAACUCAAUACCCUCAACACGGAGCUGAUCGGCAGUCCCCACCCCCACCCCCACCCCCGCCCAGCCUGAAGUUCUUUUCUUCCUGAAUUCCUUUUCUCAAGGUCAGGUCACAUUGUGAGUCCACCAGAAAGUCAAACACCCGCUCUAAGUCUACUCUCUCCCUCUUUCCCAGUGACCCAAGCUCUAGCCUCUUUACCCCACCUCCCGCCCUUCUCUGCCCUCUGUUUAGCCUGUGACCAUCACCACUAUCAGCCUCCCAUUUGGGCUUCAUUUUGAAAGCUUGCUCGCUUUUCUUUAACCUGAAGGAAAUCCACUCUGCUUAGGGCUGCUUCCGUGAUGACCUAGAGAGAUGAAGGUGGGGAGGCAGCCACACCCAUCUCCACGUCAAGUCGCCAGCUUUCUCAAGCUCUGGAGCAGAGCACUGUGAGAUUCCCCAACCGGGCCCUAGCUCCCGUGUCUGCCCUCUCUACGUAGAGGCUCGCCGUACCCUGACAGCAUCCUCCGUGUCUUGCAUCUGGUUACCGGCUGGUACCGUUUCCUUCAACCGGGAUGUCAUACCCCUACUCGUGGCUGCCUGCUCUGAAUCCUUUGGCAAAACUUAAAAUAAUUAUGAAAAUUUUCAUAAUCUCUUCCUCAUAAUCCCACUCCAUCCCUGUGUUUUACAAACAUACAUGAAGGAACACACACUGAUAGCUACAUACAUAUGAUUUUAAAUUUAGGCUCCAAAUAUAACGCUAUGGUCUUUUGUAUAUUUGGUUGGUUUUUUUUUUUUUUGUUUUUUUUUUUGUUUUUGUUUUUUUGGCUUUUGGAGGCAAGUGUCUCUCUGCAUAGCUCUCUGUCCUGGAACUCACUCUAUAGACCUGACUCUGUAGCCUUGAAUUAACAAAAAUCCCCCUGCCUCUGCCACUUGAAGGCUGGGAUUAAGGGCAUGGAGCACCACACCUGGUACAAGCUGUGGUUUUAAAAUCUGGUUUAUUUCACUUAACAUAAUGACUUUUGCAUCCACCAUUUUUUCCUGCAAAUGUUAUGAUUUGGAUUUUCUUACAGAUGAAUGAAAUUGCACUGUGUGUGUGUGUGUGUGUGUGUGUGUGUGUGUGAGAGAGAGAGAGAGAGAGAGAGAGAGAGAGAGAGAGAGAGAGAGAGAGAGAGAGAGAGAGAGACCUUUCUUUAUCUGUCCGUCUGCUGAUGGGCAUCUAGGUUGGUGCCACUUCUAGGAUUUUGUGAACAGUGCUGCAGUAAUCAGAGUAGAACAGGCUGAUUAAACCUUGAUUUAUUCAUCUCCAUCACCUUUUCUCUCCUUUUUUUUCUGAGUUGUUCUAAAGUAUAUUCAGGACAUCAUAAAAUAUCUCCUCCUUUUUAUUAGAUGUCUUCAAUGACGGUCACUAUUGUGCAUAUCAGGGUUAUUUCAGACUUCUCAUUGGCGGUGGCCACUCCUGGAGCUCAUUCUGACUCUAAAGGAAAAAUUUCCAUGUUGCUGCAAUAAAAGGGAUUUUUUUUUAAAAAAAUAAUGAUCCAAAAUAAGUUGCACGUACCAACUUUGGUUGAUUCCAUCGCUCAGGAGCAGGGCUCCUCUCUCUUUCUUUAUUGACCCCACCCACUUGUUGCAGAACUAGGUCACUAGGUCACUGGUAGCAUUGCAUGCCCACAGUCUUUGUCUCCUUAUGAUGAGAGCUUGUUUUUGUACCUACUCUAUUACUUACAAACAGAAAUUCCUUCAGAGGCUUGGUUAAAUUCAAAUCGGCCCUCCCUGCCCUUUUAACUCAUUUCUCUUCCUCUUCCUCCUCUUCCUCCUCCUCUUCCUCCUCUUCCUCUUCCUCCUCUCCUCCUCCUCUUCCUUCUCCCCUUUCUUCCACCUAACCAUCUGAGUGUUGACGUUGACUAGCUGGUUCCCUAGGUAACAGCCUAAUUCCGUAUCACAGUCAUCAUCAGUCUCACUGUGCAGCUCUGGUUGAAUCCAUUGAUGACCGUCACCCAAAUCUAUCAUUUCACUGAGGGCUGUAAGAUGGGUCAAUGAUAAUUUUAUUAUUUCUGCCACAUUUACUGGGUAGAACUUUCCUGGAAAGAAAAACGGUUUGAGGGCCAUCGAGAUAGCUCAUCACACAAAAGCACUUGCUUGAUGAACUGAGUUUGAUCCAGAAACCAUACGAUGGAGAGACCGAGACCGACUCCAGAAAGUUGUUCCCUGACCUCCACACGCAGGCUGUGGAGCCAUGCAUGCAGACACAGUGCGCACACAGAGCCCUUGUGCUUUCUCAGCUCAGACCAUCUGACUACCCGGGAAGGCGGGGCACAGCGGAGAGGGGAGGGAUGAUCACGAUGAUUUUUCAUUCUUCGGGACUCUUACUUCCAUUCUCUCAUUGGUUCAGACGAAUAGAUUCCUUCCGUGAGAAUCUGCUGUUAAUCUGUGAGCCAAACACUGCCUUAUUCCCUCCUAGGGAUGCCUCUGUCCCACACCCAUCAAGUCUGCCUGAGUGCGGGAAGUACUGAGCCUUUACCUGGUGCUUCACUUCAUCCUAGAUGACCUGAGCAACAGUAGCGAUCCAUCCGUGAGCAGCUGGCAGUGCACAAGCUACGUCAAGCACCAGCUGUGUGUUAUCUUUCCCACUCCCCACAUCAUGACUAUGUCUCUUUUCCCCACUGGGAUACUUUGUAUAAUUUCAAUGACACUUAAAGUACUCUGUCCAUUUUCAGAGUUCUGAAAAUCACCUUUCUAAUUUCCUUUGUAAAAAACAAAUCCAUACAAUAUAUUUGAUUAUAUUAUUAUAUAUUAUAUUAUACAUAUUAUAUUAUUUUCCUUCCCUCAGUUUCUCCAACUUACCCAACUUCAUGUUCUUUAUCAGAAAAAAAAACAAAAGAAAGAAAAAAAAAGGCACACAUACAAACAAACCAAAAACGUAGUCCAUUUUGUAAUGUCCAAGUACUCCUGAGUAUGAAGCCUGUUCCGAAGCACGGUUGAUCUACCCAGGGACACUGCCUUGAAGAAUCAGAUUCCUCGGACCGGGAGCUAUCAAUUGUGAAUAGCUUCUUGGCUAAGACAGAUAAUAUGCCAUGAGGAACCCCUUGUUUUUCCGCACAUCUCUUAAGUACAGAAGGAGCUCGAACAAAAGUGGAGGCAAAACGCAGCCUACAAAAGGUCCUCUCAGCUAAGAGUGCCCUGUGCUCCUGUUUGGAGGUGAGACGCCAGCUCCCCGUUCCUCACGGCACUCAGAUGCAUCAUUCUCUACAUUUCCAAGAGACUCAGCCCUAACAACCAAGUGCGCAUCGUGGUGGGAAAUAAUGCAGAUUCAACAAGAUCACAACCUCCAUGCGAAAACUGCUCUUAAUGAGGUGCUGUGUAUGAAUUAAUUAAAUUAGUUUGCCCCUCGUGUGGCAAGCCCUGGUUAGCGUU